rnacentral:rRNA from 1 species
GACGAACGCUGGCGGCGUGCUUAACACAUGCAAGUCGAACGGCAAGGCCCUGCUUUUGUGGGGUGCUCGAGUGGCGAACGGGUGAGUAACACGUGAGUAACCUGCCCUUGACUUUGGGAUAACUUCAGGAAACUGGGGCUAAUACCGGAUAGGAGCUCCUGCUGCAUGGUGGGGGUUGGAACGUUUCGGCGGUUGGGGAUGGACUCGCGGCUUAUCAGCUUGUUGGUGGGGUAGUGGCUUACCAAGGCUUUGACGGGUAGCCGGCCUGAGAGGGUGACCGGCCACAUUGGGACUGAGAUACGGCCCAGACUCGUACGGGAGGCAGCAGUGGGGAAUAUUGCACAAUGGGCGGAAGCCUGAUGCAGCAACGCCGCGUGCGGGAUGACGGCCUUCGGGUUGUAAACCGCUUUCGCCUGUGACGAAGCGUGAGUGACGGUAAUGGGUAAAGAAGCACCGGCUAACUACGUG